rnacentral:lncRNA from 10 species
CAAAUAAGCAUAUAUUUUUAAAGAAAUUAUGAGGUAGUUGAGUUGAUAUGAAACUUUCCUCUGUCCAUUGAUUGGGUUUAUACAACUUUAUACAAAAAGUAUAAUGAUAUAAUCAACAAGGACUUGAAGAGCUUGCUAUUGAUAAUCUCCUCGCAUUAGUUCGUUUUCAUGCUGCUGAUAAAGACAUACCCAAGACUGGACAAAUUACAAAAGAAAGAGGCUUAUCGGACUUACAGUUCCACAUGGCUGGGGAGGCCUCACAGUA